rnacentral:rRNA from 1 species
AUUGAACGCUGGCUGCAGGCCUAACACAUGCAAGUCGAGCGGCAGCGGGAAAGUAGCUUGCUACUUUUGCCGGCGAGCGGCGGACGGGUGAGUAAUGCCUGGGAAAUUGCUCAGUCGAGGGGGAUAACAGUUGGAAACGACUGCUAAUACCGCAUACGCCCUACGGGGGAAAGCAGGGGACCUUCGGGCCUUUCGCGAUUGGAUUUGCCCAGGUGGGAUUAGCUAGUUGGUGAGGUAAUGGAUCACCAAGGCGACGAUCCCUAGCUGGUCUGAGAGGAUGAGCAGCCACACUGGAACGGAGACACGGUCCAGACUCCUACGGGAGGCAGCAGUGGGGAAUAUUGCACAAUGGGGGAAACCCUGAUGCAGCCAUGCCGCGUGUGUGAAGAAGGCCUUCGGGUUGUAAAGCACUUUCAGCGAGGAGGAAAGGUUGGUAGCUAAUAACUGCCAGCUGUGACGUUACUCGCAGAAGAAGCACCGGCUAACUCCGUGCCAGCAGCCGCAGUAACAC